UGAUGUGAGGGAGAUCUGGAUGCAAUAUCUGUUACCCCAUCAAUCACCAUGGUUGACUGAACUGUUCUGACUGGCUAUGUAUGUGUCCCCUUCUUCCCUCACCACUCCAUGUGUGUUCGUCCUGAAGUUGUACAUUCCCUCUAAGAGGAUGAUCUUCCUUGAUAGAAAAGGGGAAGAACGUUCUUCCAUCAAGGGUAUACGAGUAGCUGCACUCCCCUACUAGAAUCUCCAAACAAGCUCUCAAGGUCCAUUUGAAGGAGAACAUAGGUUCUUGAACAUAGGUUCAAGCUUCCAAGACACCAGACACAUCCAAAUGAGGUGCUUCAUGUGGCAGUCUUCCUUUCUUU
rnacentral:snRNA from 1 species